UACUCCCUCCCUCACUCCCUGUGUCUGUGUAGUGAAUCCACUUUGCUGCUUAUCUUCUCACCCUCACCCUCACCCUCACCCUACCUUUUAAUUAAUCCUUUCUCUUUCUAGAAAUUCAAUUAAAGUAGCUACCUAGCUACCUCACCGCCAUAUGUGCGUGCGCUUGCCUUUACAAUUGGCUUCUUCACCGCCUUCAAUUUCUCUUUCUCUCUCUGAAAUUGAGGCGGCUUCGAGUUGCGCCAUGGAAACGCGUGAGGGUUUCUCCAUUCGAGAAUAUGCGUUGGGGAUGAGAAGCGUACACGUGGUAAAAUGCUGGCCGUUUGAUGAGAUUGAGACCUCGUCCGAAGAAUCUGUGAGAUCGAUGCUCCCUCCCAUCACUGUGAAGAACUUUGUCUGGUGGAUCGAUUUGCUCCAGUAUGUUGAUGCUGAAUCCACCGAUGAGAUUCCCGAGUGCUCAGCGGGGAAGAAGAAGAAGAAGAAGAAGAAGAAAAGCGCUGUUGUUGUCGAAAAAGGAGAAUCAUCUUCGAGAAGGGCUGAAGAGAUCGAUAUCUCCGAUUCCGAAGACAUGGCAAUAAUUCAUGAGCGGUCUUCAAGGUCAAAAGCGAAGCCCCAAAAGAAGAGAUCGAUCUUGGAGAUUUUCGCGGCGGCGCAGCCAGUGGAGAGGGUUAGUACCGACGAGGAGGAUAACGGUUUCCACGUAGAAGAUGGAUUCGGCAUUGCUUCGAAGCUGUCCCGCCGAGAGGAAACUAAUUGGGGUUUUGAAGGAAAGACGAAGAAGAAAUUCAAAAAGUAUAAGAAGAUUAUUUCAAGCAAGUUGAAGAAGGCAACAAAUGCGAUCAACAAAAUCAAGAAAAGGACGUCGCAGAGAGGAGACAACAAUCUGGGUCUAUUAUCUCCGCGUAAGGUGGAUUGUUCCAUGCUAAAAUUGCAAGAUCAUGACGAUGCUGAUCGAAAAGGAAGCUCAAGGAAGAAUGAUCAUGAUAUCAACAAUGGGGUGUCCAUCUGCGACCGUGGGAAGAAUACAAGGCAGCAGCUUCUCAAUGCAGCUAACCGUGGGUCAUCUUCUAAAGCUUUUAGAUGGAUUAAUGCUCAGAGCCAACCUCGGACGAAUCUCAAGCCUGGUAUAUUGCGGCGAGUUCCUCCACUGGAUCAUGAUGUCAAAGAAAAUGCAGACAAACAGGUUAAAUUUUUAGAGAAGGGUAACCAUGUCAAACAACAGAAGAAACCACUUCUCCUGGAAGAAAGCUAUGAGUUGCAGCUGAAUAGUAUGCAUAUAGCUCACAGUCCUGAGAGUUUGGGAAAAGAUUUACCAAUGGCGGAAACCAUUGAAACUAACAGAAUGGAAGAUAAGGCAGACUUUAGAACUGCAAGCAGAUCGACUAUCCCUUUGUGUCCAGCUGAUUCAUUUACUUUUCAGCAGUGUAAAAAAAAGGACCUUCCCGGUCGAUCAAUCACUUGCAAAGCUCAAGACUUGAAUGAUGUCAGCCCCUCCAUGACCAUGAAUGUAACAUCAGUUCCUUCGAGCUCUACUGGCAGAGUACUCAUAAAGGAUCUCGGGGUUGGUCAUAAUGUGCCAUCAGUGUUGAAUUUUGAGAAACUUGCAAGCAAUAUUUCUCAACCUGGAUAUCUUCUUCAAUCUGUGUGUUCCCCGGCAGAUGGAUACAGAACCGGAAUCAUUUUUGGGAAGAGGAUAGGUAAUAUAAACGAAGAUUUGGUUAGGUUGCCACUCAAUUCGAAAGGAGAGUUGUUGGUACUGAGUUCGAAUUCUAAAGGUGGUCUUAAUGAGAGUAUGGCACGAAAUAUGUCUGCUUUCCCUUCCAUUGGAUUAUCAGUGCCAAACAAAUUUUCAAAAUGCUUAGCUGAAGAUAUAGAGCACAGGUAUUGGGAUCACCGAAUAUCCUCAAGGGAUGCCUCAAGUUUGAUCCCAUCCAUUAAUGGCAGCUAUUUGAGAGAGAAUCAGGCUGUUAUCUUCCAGUCAAUGUUAGGUAUGAAUGAUCAACAAUGUAAUGGGAAGACAAAUCUUGCCCAGGAUUUGACGAAGUUCGAGAAUCCUGCAUUUUACCGCGAAGAUUUCCUGUGCAAAGAAAGUGCACGAUGUCCAUCAGAGGUCUAUAGAAAUGACAAGAUCUUUCCAACAAUGCGUUUGAUGGGUAAAGAGUUCACCGUGGGUGCACAAGGCUUUCAAGAAUUCGAGAACAGACAUAUUUGGAAGGAUAAGCAGAUGAUGGAUGAGCUUGGGUUUAGCAAUAUGCCCAUUGACAACAGAAUAAUCCAUAAUCGAAAUGAUCCAUCUGCAGGGAAACUCAGAGAAACUUUGUUCCAUCCAACAGAUACUACUGCAGUUGAUCACAGUUACUCAGAUAUGGCUUCCUUUCCCGGUAUGAUAACAAGUGAGUUUGAUCUUUUAAAGAAGCAGGAUCUGAGACCAGUCAUCAAAUCUUCUUAUAUGCAUCCAGAUCAUAGCAGAUUCAGCACUAGUCUUCGCCCCUACCUGAUACCAGGAGUUAAUUGUUGGGCUGAUCUUUCAGCCCCUCUUAAACCCAAAUCUUCUUGUGUGGACAACCCCCACUUCCUGUUUGGCUCCACACUGCCAAGCUGCCCAAUCGAAGCUUCCUCAUCUCCAACUUUGUUGACACAACACGUACCUGCAGUGUAUCCGAUUUCUUCUGUGAGGAAAAGACAUGGCAAUGGCAAUCAGAAUGCCGGAGAAAGAAUCAAUUCAAGAGUUGGAUUUGCAGCUUGUCACCAUGGUGGUGGGAUCGCCAAAAGGCGACCUUCUUCAGCUGCAUCAAGUGCUCCCUUGAAGUUGAAGGGAGUGAAAGCACAUUGCGACAAUACAAGGACGCUCACCAAUAUGAACUUGGAAGACGUUCAAAAGAUGAUUGAAACAACAAUGGAAUCAGAAUCAUAUGGUGGCGCUGAGGAAAGAAUCCAUUCAUGGACAGAUUCCUGCAGCUGUAUUGCCAACAAAGGUGAUCAUCAUUCAAUCAAGAUAACUUCCAAUAUCGACCAGAGUAGCUCCGGAUCUAGAUCCAGCAGCACACAAUAUCUUCUUGCCCCAACUCCAGGUUCCAUCAUCUAAAAUUCUACAAAAAUAGCAAAUACUACAUGUGGAUAUAUGGAGCCUUGGCAAUGACUGGAUGGAUGGCAGCAAGUGGAUCUUUGUUGAAUGCCAACUACAUCAACAAGAUAAUUAAAAUCUUGGUGGUUAUAUUGAGCUAGCUGCCUUACAUUCUGGUAUGGUCGACUCUGGCUUUAAUUUUAUUUUUAUAUUUUUCGCAAUGCAUUAUAUAAAACAUGCUCUAUUGUGUAUUAAUAUUGGGAAUCAAUGCUUAUGACAUCUUUGGUUA